rnacentral:rRNA from 1 species
AUGAACGCUGGCGGCGUGCCUAAUACAUGCAAGUCGAGCGAACGGACGAGAAGCUUGCUUCUCUGAUGUUAGCGGCGGACGGGUGAGUAACACGUGGAUAACCUACCUAUAAGACUGGGAUAACUUCGGGAAACCGGAGCUAAUACCGGAUAAUAUUUUGAACCGCAUGGUUCAAAAGUGAAAGACGGUCUUGCUGUCACUUAUAGAUGGAUCCGCGCUGCAUUAGCUAGUUGGUAAGGUAACGGCUUACCAAGGCAACGAUGCAUAGCCGACCUGAGAGGGUGAUCGGCCACACUGGAACUGAGACACGGUCCAGACUCCUACGGGAGGCAGCAGUAGGGAAUCUUCCGCAAUGGGUGAAAGCCUGACGGAGCAACGCCGCGUGAGUGAUGAAGGUCUUCGGAUCGUAAAACUCUGUUAUUAGGGAAGAACAUAUGUGUAAGUAACUGUGCACAUCUUGACGGUACCUAAUCAGAAAGCCACGGCUAACUACGUG